GUUUACUUAGUGGACCCAAGACAUUUCACUGUCUCAGGCUGGGCCACGCUGUUUAACGGACUGAGGAGAGGAAAGGAUGGAACAGGACCAAGAAGGAGAAGUCAGGAAGGCAGAGAGGAUGUUACACAACUAAAGCAAGAACUCAUAUCCUGCUUCAAAACCUGCUGCUGUCAUCAGUCUAUCCAAUGCUUUGAGAAGCCCAGAGGUUAGAUGUAGUCAAAAAGAAAGAAACAAAACA
rnacentral:lncRNA from 1 species